rnacentral:rRNA from 1 species
GACGAACGCUGGCGGCGUGCUUAACACAUGCAAGUCGAACGAUGAAGCCGGAGCUUGCUCUGGUGAAUUAGUGGCGAACGGGUGAGUAACACGUGAGUAACCUGCCCUUGACUCUGGGAUAACUGCGGGAAACGGUGGCUAAUACCGGAUACGACCCUCGGAGGCAUCUCAUGGGGGUGGAAAGAAGUUCGGCAAAGGAUGGACCCGCGGCCUAUCAGCUGGUUGGUGAGGUAACGGCUAACCAAGGCAACGAGGGGUAGCCGGCCUGGGAGGUUGACCGGCCCAACUGGGACUGAGAAACGACCCAGACUCCAACGGGAGGCAGCAGUGGGGAAUAUUGAACAAUGGGCGCAAGCCUGUUGCAGCAACGCCGCGUGAGGGAUGACGGCCUUCGGGUUGUAAACCUCUUUUAGCAGGGAAGAACGAAAGUGACGGUACCUGCAGAAAAAGCACCGGCUAACUACGUGCCAGCCGCCGCCGUAA